rnacentral:rRNA from 1 species
GAUGAACGCUGGCGGCGUGCCUAAUACAUGCAAGUCGAGCGAACAGACGAGGAGCUUGCUCCUCUGACGUUAGCGGCGGACGGGUGAGUAACACGUGGAUAACCUACCUAUAAGACUGGGAUAACUUCGGGAAACCGGAGCUAAUACCGGAUAAUGUAUUGAACCGCAUGGUUCAAUAGUGAAAGACGGUUUUGCUGUCACUUAUAGAUGGAUCCGCGCCGCAUUAGCUAGUUGGUAAGGUAACGGCUUACCAAGGCAACGAUGCGUAGCCGACCUGAGAGGGUGAUCGGCCACACUGGACCUGAGACACGGUCCAGACUCCUACGGGAGGCAGCAGUAGGGAAUCUUCCGCAAUGGGCGAAAGCUUGACGGAGCAACGCCGCGUGAGUGAUGAAGGUCUUCGGAUCGUAAAACUCUGUUAUUAGGGAAGAACAAAUGUGUAAGUAACUAUGCACGUCUUGACGGUACCUAAUCAGAAAGCCACGGCUAACUACGU